GCAGAGGAGGCUGUUCCCGGUCGCCGUCGCUUGAGCUCUGUCUCCCGACGCACCCGCGGGUUUUGACAGGGGCCGUGCAUCUUCGUGCCUUCGUGAACACGUGUAGAGUUACCUUCACAGGCCGCCUAGGCCCUGGCCAAUUCGCCCUUCCUCUUCCCGUCCGCUCAGCCGGCUUCCCGCUAACCUUGACAAGCAUUUCUGCGCACGGUGCACGCUUCUUGCAUUUUUUUUUUUUCCUUCUUUGAGGUAAAACCGAAACAAACUCCUGUUUUCUCGAGUGGUUUCUGUAGCGGCGCUGAACCGGAACACCCCAGACGCUUUCUCUCGGUGAGAGGGUGCGUUGGUAGUCAGCCCAUUUCUCACACGCGGAAACACGCCUGCGGAGAGGCGGCCCCGGACAGAGAUGAGGAAAGGAUGCGAAUGAGGCCCAGAAAGUUUUGUGCUGAGAUUUGAAGAAGGAGAAGAAAAAGAAGGCGAAUGCUUACCCUGGGAGGGGAACGGCAGCGACAGAGCAAGUCUCAGGAAGGGCCUGGUGUGUGUUAGAGCAAGUGCACAAGUCAUCACCAGAAAAUCUUUGGGAUACGGUACACAAAGUGAGGAGCUGCCAGUGCUGGAAGGACGGGUCCCAGAAGAUUUCUCUGAUCUCCCGCCCUGCCUUCUCCUCACCUCUUUCCCUUGCUGUCUGAGCUGCAGACUUCGGCAGCCAUGUGGACUAAAGCAAAAGUGAGUUCAUCCACAGAGCAUGUGCCUGGGCAGCCAAGUCCCCCAGGUUUGAAUAAAAUGACCCAAUCUAUUUGGCAUUCCCUGGGCAGUCACAUAGGGGCAUGUCCAUUCUGGGAUGUCCCUCAGCGGGGCAGAUGCUGCCUCAGCCAGACUGGCCAAGAGUCCUUGAGUGGGGUUCCUGGUGGGAGGCGCAGGAGAUCAAAGCCCACCUCCCUCCC